CGACCGUAGCGCGGUUCACCUCCCGUUCCGGGGCGGCCGGCAUGGGCUCCCGAGAAUGGGAGACCGGUUCCGGUGCGAGGUCGGAACGGUCACC
rnacentral:tRNA from 1 species